GAUGAACGCUGGCGGUAUGCUUAACACAUGCAAGUCGAACGGACUCUUCGGAGUUAUUGGCGGACGGGUGAGUAACGCGUUAGAAGCUGGCUUUGGGUUCGGGACAACCACUGGAAACGGUGGCUAAUACCGGAUGUGCCGAGAGGUAAAAGAGAAAUUGCCUGAAGAUGAGCUCGCGUCUGAUUAGCUAGUUGGUGAGGUAAAGGCUCACCAAGGCAGCGAUCAGUAGCUGGUCUGAGAGGAUGACCCGCCACACUGGGACUGAGACACGGCCCAGACUGCUACGGGAGGCAGAAGUGGGGAAUUUCCCGCAAAGGGAGAAAGUCUGACGGAGCAAUACCGCGUGAGAGAAGAAGGCUCUUGGGUUGUAAAGCUAUUUUCUUAGGGAAGAACAAAAUGACGGUACCUAAGGAAUCAGCAUCGGCUAACUACGUG
rnacentral:rRNA from 1 species